UAGGGAAUCUUCCACAAUGGACGCAAGUCUGAUGGAGCAACGCCGCGUGAGUGAAGAAGGUUUUCGGAUCGUAAAGCUCUGUUGUUGGUGAAGAAGGAUAGAGGUAGUAACUGGCCUUUAUUUGACGGUAAUCAACCAGAAAGUCACGGCUAACACUU
rnacentral:rRNA from 1 species